rnacentral:tRNA from 1 species
UGGCUCAGUGGUAAAGAAUCUGCUUGCAAUGCAGGAGGCCCAGGUUCAACCCCUGG